rnacentral:rRNA from 1 species
CCUACGGGUGGCAGCAGUAGGGAAUUUUGCGCAAUGAGCGCAAGCCUGAUGCAGCGAUUCCGCGUGUGGGAUGACGGCCCUCGGGUUGUAAACCACUGUAGUAGGGAACGAAAAGGAGCUAUCGGAUAAGUAUCUCUGCUGACGGUACUCUAAGAAUAAGCAACGGCUAACUAUGUGCCAGCAGCCGCGGUAAUACGUAGGGUGCCAGCGUUAAUCGGAAUUAUUGGGCGUAAAGGGUGUGCAGGCGGCUGAGUAAGACAGAUGUGAAAUCCCCGGGCUUAACCUGGGAACCGCAUAUGUGACUGGGUGGCUAGAGUGAGACAGAGGGAAGUGGAAUUCCAAGUGAAGCAGUGGAAUGCGUAGAUAUGAGGAAGAACACCGACGGCGAAGGCAGCCUCCUGGGACGACACUGACGCUCAUACACGAAAGCGUGGGGAGCAAACAGGAUUAGAUACCCUAGUAGUC